rnacentral:rRNA from 1 species
CGUGGGUAACCUGCCCAAGAGAUCGGGAUAACACCUGGAAACAGAUGCUAAUACCGGAUAACAACAGAUGAUGCCUAUCAACUGUUUAAAAGGUGGUUCUGCUAUCACUCUUGGAUGGACCUGCGGUGCAUUAACUAGUUGGCGAGGUAACGGCUCACCAAGGUGAUGAUGCAUAGCCGACCUGAGAGGGUAAUCGGCCACAUUGGGACUGAGACACGGCCCAAACUCCUACGGGAGGCAGCAGCC